CUACGGAAGGCAGCAGUAGGGAAUAUUGGUCAAUGGAUGCAAGUCUGAACCAGCCAUGCCGCGUGCAGGAAGAAGGCCUUCUGGGUUGUAAACUGCUUUUGCCAGGGGAUAAAAAUCUCAUGCGUGAGAAAUUGAAGGUACCUGGUGAAUAAGCCACGGCUAACUACGUGCCAGCAGCCGCGGUAAUACGUAGGUGGCAAGCGUUGUCCGGAUUUAUUGGGUUUAAAGGGUGCGUAGGCGGCCCUGUAAGUCAGUGCUGAAAUAUCCCGGCUUAACCGGGAGGGUGGCAUUGAUACUGCAGGGCUUGAGUACAGAUGAGGUAGGUGGAAUUGACGGUGUAGCGGUGAAAUGCAUAGAUAUCGUCAAGAACUCCGAUAGCGAAGGCAGCUUACUAAGCUGUAACUGACGCUGAGGCACGAAAGUGUGGGGAUCAAACAGGAUUAGAUACCCCGGU
rnacentral:rRNA from 1 species